UGUAUGUAUCAGUUUCAUACACAUACAAGGUAACACUAUAGUUAUUCAUUCAUUUACAUCACGUUGGGGGAUGCAGCAGUGAACAAAAAGGAACAAAAAAAUCACUGACGUCAGAAGCUUACAUUAUGGUGGAGGGAAACAAUAAAUAAAUCAACAGAGGAAUGACAUGAGCUGGAGUGAAAAGACUCACCCCGACUCCCUCGGUGCUGGAGGCAAGGGCAGAAAGAGGCCAGAGCUGUAAUGGCACUUAUUCAAGGUGGUGGUAGUCUAGAUCAUAAAGAAUUGGAUGCUGGGUUUCAACUAAGGGGUUCGAGAGAAAUAUGCGGAAGCAGUUGGAGCACAGGGUAACAUCAAGGGUCUAGAGAGAUAAUUUGUAACUCAGAUUGUUUCAGGAGGUUCGGCCAGGACGGUCCCUUCUCUUGGAAGCCACACAAUCUGUUUAAUGCCACACAGGUGACUUUAGGACCCUGAA